UCGGGGCUACGGCGGGCUGGGACGGGGCAUUGUGCUGUCGCGGCUCUGGGACGUCGACCAGUACGAGCCGGUGAGCAGUGGGGCACGCGAGUUGGCGCUCUCCCUGACCCCGGGGUCCCGGGCAGAGGUGUGUGACCUUGGACUAGUUAAGUCCCCUCUCCGAGAUGCCAGCUCAGCAGCAUUACAGCAGAGGGGGCCACUCACUCACGGAGCCAUCACCAGCCCAAGCCUCACUUUAAAGUACUUAGAUACCGUUCACCGCCAAUUAACUGUGUGUGGAAACUGUUUAGAUUUGUACAGCUGAGUGGAUCGUCUGGUGUGUUCCACCAUGUCACCCUCAUGUGGCGGCAGAGGGCUGUUCUCCUGGGCUGUGGCUGCACCCUGUGGCAUUUACAGAGGAACGAAGAACCAAGCGAAUAAUGAUGGCCGCACCCGGCUUUCCUGUCUCCCUCAGUCCCCUCCGUACCCUGUGGUCCCACCAGUGACCUGUCUCAUCCUCACACCCGAGCCUGGACACAGCACACGGGUGUCAUUUCCCCUCACUGCACGGCCCAGAGAGCCCUCUCUCCCGGACUCCAUCCCAGGGAAGCAGCCGAGGCCACCUGCCAUCACAGGCCGAUGGGACUUGGGCUCUGAGCUUGUGUUUUAUACCGAGUUGGAGGGGAAUUAGCAUUCUUGUCAGCGGAGAGCUGAGCGGUGAGCGGGGAAGAUAAUUAAAACUUUGCC